rnacentral:rRNA from 1 species
AGAGUUUGAUCCUGGCUCCCUUUAAGGGUGGCGGNAGGCUUAACACAUGCAAGUCGANCCUNUGNAGCAAUACGUCAGCGGCAGACGGGUGAGUAACGCGUGGGAACGUACCUUUUGGUUCGGAACAACACAGGGAAACUUGUGCUAAUACCGGAUAAGCCCUUACGGGGAAAGAUUUAUCGCCGAAAGAUCGGCCCGCGUCUGAUUAGCUAGUUGGUGAGGUAAUGGCUCACCAAGGCGACGAUCAGUAGCUGGUCUGAGAGGAUGAUCAGCCACAUUGGGACUGAGACACGGCCCAAACUCCUACGGGAGGCAGCAGUGGGGAAUAUUGGACAAUGGGGGCAACCCUGAUCCAGCCAUGCCGCGUGAGUGAUGAAGGCCCUAGGGUUGUAAAGCUCUUUUGUGCGGGAAGAUAAUGACGGUACCGCAAGAAUAAGCCCCGGCUAACUUCGUGCCAGCAGCCGCGGUAAUACGAAGGGGGCUAGCGUUGCUCGGAAUCACUGGGCGUAAAGGGUGCGUAGGCGGGUCUUUAAGUCAGGGGUGAAAUCCUGGAGCUCAACUCCAGAACUGCCUUUGAUACUGAGGAUCUUGAGUUCGGGAGAGGUGAGUGGAACUGCGAGUGUAGAGGUGAAAUUCGUAGAUAUUCGCAAGAACACCAGUGGCGAAGGCGGCUCACUGGCCCGAUACUGACGCUGAGGCACGAAAGCGUGGGGAGCAAACAGGAUUAGAUACCCUGGUAGUCCACGCCGU